rnacentral:rRNA from 1 species
GACGGAGGAUGCAAGUGUUAUCCGGAAUCACUGGGCGUAAAGCGUCUGUAGGUGGUUCAAUAAGUCAACUGUUAAAUCUUGAGGCUCAACUUCAAAAUCGCAGUCGAAACUAUUGGACUCGAGUAUAGUAGGGGUAAAGGGAAUUUCCAGUGGAGCGGUGAAAUGCGUAGAGAUUGGAAAGAACACCAAUGGCGAAAGCACCUUACUGGGCUAUUACUGACACUGAGAGACGAAAGCUAGGGUAGCAAAUGGG